rnacentral:rRNA from 1 species
GACGAACGCUGGCGGCGUGCUUAACACAUGCAAGUCGAACGGUGAACGAGGGAGCUUGCUCCCUCCGGAUCAGUGGCGAACGGGUGAGUAACACGUGAGCAAUCUGCCUCGAACUCUGGGAUAAGCGUUGGAAAGGAGGUCUAAUACCGGAUAAGACGCGGGAGGGCAUCGUCUGCGCGUGGGAAGCACUGCGGGUCGGGAUGGGCGCGCGGUCUAUCCGCUUGUUGGUGGGGUAGGGGUACACAAAGGCGAAGAGGGGUCGCGCGCCUGGGCGGGUGACCGGCCACACGGGGACUGAGACACGGCCCAGACUCGGACGGGAGGCAGCGGUGGGAAAUAUUGCACAGUGGGCGGAAGCCUGAUGCAGCAACGCCGCGGGAGGGAAGACGGCCUUCGGGUUGUAAACCGCUUUGGCCGGUGAAGAAGCGAAAGUGACGGUACUGGAUAAAAAAGCACCGGCUAACUACGUG